rnacentral:rRNA from 1 species
AGUGAACGCUGGCGGUAGGCCUAACACAUGCAAGUCGAACGGCAGCACAGUAAGAGCUUGCUCUUACGGGUGGCGAGUGGCGGACGGGUGAGGAAUACAUCGGAAUCUACUUUUUCGUGGGGGAUAACGUAGGGAAACUUACGCUAAUACCGCAUACGACCUACGGGUGAAAGCAGGGGAUCUUCGGACCUUGCGCGAUUGAAUGAGCCGAUGUCGGAUUGGCUAGUUGGCGGGGUAAAGGCCCACCAAGGCGACGAUCCGUAGCGGGUCUGAGAGGAUGAUCAGCCAAACUGGAACUGAGACACGGUCCAGACUCCUACGGAAGGAAGCAGUGGGGAAUAUUGGCCAAUGGGCGCAAGCCUGAUCAACCCAUACCGCUUGGGUGAAGAGGGCCUUCGGGUUGUAAAGCCCUUUUGUUGGGAAAGAAAAGCAGCAGGUUAAUACCCCGCUGUUCUGACGGUACCCAAAGAAUAAGCACCGGCUAACUUCGUG